rnacentral:snRNA from 1 species
UGUAUCAAGAAUAUAUUAUUCU